ACGGGUGAGUAAUGCCUAGGAAUCUGCCUGGUAGUGGGGGACAACGUUUCGAAAGGAACGCUAAUACCGCAUACGUCCUACGGGAGAAAGCAGGGGACCUUCGGGCCUUGCGCUAUCAGAUGAGCCUAGGUCGGAUUAGCUAGUUGGUGAGGUAAUGGCUCACCAAGGCGACGAUCCGUAACUGGUCUGAGAGGAUGAUCAGUCACACUGGAACUGAGACACGGUCCAGACUCCUACGGGAGGCAGCAGUGGGGAAUAUUGGACAAUGGGCGAAAGCCUGAUCCAGCCAUGCCGCGUGUGUGAAGAAGGUCUUCGGAUUGUAAAGCACUUUAAGUUGGGAGGAAGGGCAGUAACUUAAUACGUUGCUGUUUUGACGUUACCGACAGAAUAAGCACCGGCUAACUCUGUGCCAGCAGCCGCGGUAAUACAGAGGGUGCAAGCGUUAAUCGGAAUUACUGGGCGUAAAGCGCGCGUAGGUGGUUCGUUAAGUUGGAUGUGAAAUCCCCGGGCUCAACCUGGGAACUGCAUUCAAAACUGUCGAGCUAGAGUAUGGUAGAGGGUGGUGGAAUUUCCUGUGUAGCG
rnacentral:rRNA from 1 species